rnacentral:rRNA from 1 species
UUCGCAAUGCCCGAAAGGGUGACGAUGCGACGCCGCGUGAGCGAAGAAGGCCCUAGGGUUGUAAAGCUCUGUCGAGGGUUAUGAAAUAUAGAUGGGUUAAUACCCCAUUUAUUUGACAAAAGCCCAAAAGGAAGCCACGGCUAACUCUGUGCCAGCAGCCGCGGUAAUACAGAGGUGGCGAGCGUUGUUCGGUAUUAUUGGGCGUAAAGAGCACGUAGGUGGUUUUGUAAGUCAGGUGUGAAAGCCUUCUGUUCAAAGGAAGAACGGCAUCUGAAACUGCAGAUCUUGAGUGUAGGAGGGGAGAGUGGAACUUCUGGUGGAGCGGUGAAAUGCGUAGAUAUCAGAAGGAACGUCGGCGGCGAAAGCGACUCUCUGGCCUAUUACUGACACUGAGGUGCGAAAGUUAGGGGAGCAAACGGGAUUAGAUACCCCGGUAGCCCUAACCGUAAACGAUGGGCACUAAGUAGAGGGGUUUU